rnacentral:pre_miRNA from 1 species
CACGUACUCCCUCCAUCCGAAAAUACUUGUCAUCAAAAUGGAUAAAAAGAGAUGUAUCUAGAACUAAAAUACAUCUAGAUACAUCCCCUUUUAUCUAGUUUCAUGACAAGUAUUUCCGGACGGAGGGAGUAUGUU